rnacentral:ribozyme from 1 species
UACUUUUCUUUUCUUUUCUUUUAUUGUAUGUGUCUCCCGUUCUCGGUUUG